rnacentral:rRNA from 1 species
UUAAUUGAAGAGUUUGAUCAUGGCUCAGAUUGAACGCUGGCGGCAGGCCUAACACAUGCAAGUCGAGCGGCAGCACAGAGAAACUUGUUUCUCGGGUGGCGAGCGGCGGACGGGUGAGUAAUGCCUGGGAAAUUGCCCUGAUGUGGGGGAUAACCAUUGGAAACGAUGGCUAAUACCGCAUGAUAGCUUCGGCUCAAAGAGGGGGACCUUCGGGCCUCUCGCGUCAGGAUAUGCCCAGGUGG